CAUGUUCUGAUGAGCCUAGUGGUGCUGUCACUUCACCCUCCCCUUGGGCCUGGUCUUCAAUUUCCUGAUUGCUCUUCGACUACCUUCCUGGUUUCUCAGCCCGCUGGAUCUAAUUUUAGCAACAUGAUGAAUGGCCCAGGAAUGUACUCCACUGCCCUCUGCAGAAAGGAAUAUAUAUCAGACCUGCUCAGAGGUUCCAGGCUGGAGAAAUCUCUUUCAGAGCGAUCCCCUUGGGCAGAAAGGGAGUUAAUUUGAAAACUCUGCAGCCAACACCAACAUUAAAUUGUAAAGCUUGCUUAUCGAGUGGCUAACGUGAUUUUGGAUGUAAAGAGUCCCCAGGAGGAAAGCCUACUCAACAGUCUUUUGGGAGGUAGGAGGCCUGACCUGACUCCAACCUCCAGCACUUUGGGGAGCUUCUCUUCUCACUAAAGAGCUUAGAAGGCCAAAAGCCAGAGAGACCCAUCAGAUCGAGAUCUACGUUGGUCCACACUGCUCCUUUUCUGAGGCAUGACUCCUUCAGGCAGAGUCCUAACUCUGGACUCUGUUCUAGCCUCUGCUUUCUGGAAGACCCAACCGACCCAUAGGCCAUCAAAUUUGAGGCUUUCAAGAAGAGUCAAGCUGGGAGUGCAGAUGCAGAACAGGAGAGCUUCUGGCAUAUAUUCAGAAUGGAAAUGCUAGCGGUUGUUGUGCUGUUUUUCUAGCCUGGACUUUCAUUCCAGAGUCCUCAAAAAUAAUGAGCUAUAUUGCUUCUCGAAUAUUUAUUUCCUCAGCUCUGCUGUACAAGGCAUUACCAUUUCAAAAAGGACUUGUCUAAUACAUUGGAAUUUUAAACUACAAUUCCUGAAGAUGCCAUUAAUCCCUUUCCAAACUUUGAUCUACUGUUGUGAUAUCUUUGGAUCCUGGUUUCUCUGUUUCACGUUUGAACUCUUGGGUUAAAGAUAUUAUUAAAAAGUAAACUUUAUAAACUUACAAUUAAAGAAAUGAUAUCAAG